UACACUUAAAAAUGGUGAAGAUGGUAAAUUUUAUGUUAUGUUCUUUUACCAUAAUAAAAAAAAAGAGAGAAAAAACCCCAAACAUCUCCAUGGGAGGAACUCGAGCCCUGUGAGCAGGAAGACAGGCAAUGAAUUCUCCUUCCUCCUCCUCACUAUUCCCAGAAGUGCCUUCAGUCGCCUUUUGGAAGAUGACCCCUGGAAAUCCAGCAGUCACCCUGGAUGCCAAUGUCAAUUACUUGCUGUGUGACCUUGGGUCUGAUUAAUUAACUUCUCUGUGCCCAGUUUCUUCAUCUGUAAAAUGGGGAUGCUAACAAUAGCAUCUAUCUCCUGGGGUUGGAUUGAGGUUAGAUAAGAUAACUCACGCAGAGCUCUUAGGAGAGAGGCUAGCCCAGCCAACCCUCGACAAAUGUCGGCAAUAUUUAUGUGACCCUAGGGUCUAGUCAGGUGCUACAAAAAGUGGGGUUUGUGUGUAGGGACCAGUU
rnacentral:lncRNA from 1 species